CUCUUAUGCUGGACUCUUUGUUCAUGGUGUCUCUGGGAUUUAUCUCAAUGGGACCUCUGCAGCCGACAACCAUCACCCUUCCUGCAUGGGACAGCAGAUGCAGGUCAGCAGCCAGAUUGACAUUGGAGAGCAUUUCUAUUAUUAUAUUAACUCCUUGCAUCUUGGUAUAUUCCAUAAUUUUGUCAAGAUAGUUAGCUUCUCUGUGAUUAAAUGCUUGGUGAGCACCAUUUCUCAGAACAACGUUCAUACCCUGCUCGGUUCCCG
rnacentral:lncRNA from 1 species